AAUGGUCUGACAAGAUCUUUUCAGGCACUCAGCUCUGCUCUCAUUAAAACUAGUCUUUAACAGACCUGAAUCUGAAUGAUAACAAUUUUGGAGAUUCAGGAGUGCAACUACUGUGUCCAGUUCUGAGGAACUCGGACUGCAAAAUACAAAAACUGCAAUUGUGUAACAUCAGCAUCAUAGAUCCUUGUGUUGACGAUCUCUCCACUGCUGUCAGUCCACACCAGUCACGGAAAAUUCUGGAUUUGGGAUAGAACUGCAUCAUAAGCAAAUUUGUUGCCACUGUCUCCUGCCUCGCGCAGACCUUAAAAGAUUUGGAAUGGACUGGGCUGUUGGGGAAUCAGUUCUGUCCAAAUGGAAAGAUUCAACAGGAGUCAGCAGAGGAAUCUACAACUGGACUGACUGUAUCAGUGGGUGUAUGAUUCAGACUCUUCAAGGCUGGAACACAAAAGUACGAAAAAGACCAAAACAACUUUCACAUUGUAGGGUUGGCAAGGACCUAAGGGGUUAGAACAGAAAGAGUCAUAAUGUAAAGACUGAGCGGCACAACACAUGGCUGCAGGCCUACAGGAGCAGGAAGUAAAAGUCAAGAAGAAAACCUGUGUCUGCCUCCCGCCAACCCCAAUCUGAGAAACAGCUGUGGUCUGUUUUUCAGUUGAAAAUGAAUCUACUAUUUAAUGUAAGGUAGGAGACUGCAAGGUUUAAGUUAGUGUCUCUGAGAGAAGAGAUAGACUAAGGACAGAAUACAACACAAUAUUUAUAACUCGGAAUGGAAAACAUCGGACAUAGGUUCAAACAGGUAGCAGGAAAUCGGUUGAAACUAGCCAACAGGCCCUCAGAAAACCCACAAUAUGGACAGGGGUCAGGGUUGAGUUUGCACCUUCUGACCAAUCGGAACAUCAUGUGCCUCCUAUUGAUAUUUAAUCAGAAAGUUAUACAUUUAGCACUACAAUAUAAUUUGAUUCAGAGAAGUAUGCUAAACUUUUAUUACCUUCAGGGAACUUUUAAUCAGCUAUGGAUGAGUUUAUCCUGCUUAACUGUAAUAAAGCUGUGUUUUCCUCAAGGAUGUCUAAACUUCCAGCAAUCAUGAUCAAACACUAGUUUAGAACACAGACACAUGCACCAAGGCUAGUGACAGGUAUGUGGUCUACCUAAAAUCAUGCAUGUAAUUAUAUUUUCUAUUAAAGUCACAACUAUAUCCAUAAUCACCUGUCGCUCAUUGAAAAAAUAACAGUCCCCAGCAGAUGGGGAUCAUGCUGUGACUGUGUGUGAGGUAGUGAUAUUCAGUCCGGCAAAGGGAGAUUGCUGAUAGUUGUGUGCAUGGUAAUUGACAUGGUCCUGAGUGUAAGCGUCUUUAACACAACUUGUGUCAAGCAGUUAGUUCCCAGCAUAUAUUAUUGAUGAACUAUUGAUGAAAAGGUGGAACAGCCUUGUAAUAUGCCUUUUGUAAUUUGUAAUAUACAAAUUACUAGCAAUGAAAUAUGCUUGGUUAGUAACCUUAUGUUCAA